GGAAUGACUCCACAACGCCGUCGGUCCUCAUCAGCUACUUUAUUUGGGAGGAUGACACAAAGUUUCCGUGGUGCUCCACAAGGAGUCAACCUUUCUUUAAUCAAUGGUAACAUAAAUGGUGGAGUGGAAACCUUACGGCAAGUUGAAGCCAAGUACGUACCCAGCCUUGCUUUUUAAACAACAGCUUACCGCAUAUGUAGAAAAGAUCUAUGGAAUGAUUCGAGAUAAUCUGAAGAAAGAAAUUUCUCCCUUGCUGGGAUUGUGCAUCCAGGCACCAAGAACAUCCAGAGCAAGCUUAGUUAAGGGGUCAUCACGUUCGGUUGCAAACAGUGAUGCGCAACGAGCUUUGAUUGCUCACUUGCAAGGGAUAGUAAAAAGCCUUGGAAGCUUCUUAAACACUUUGAAAGCAAA